rnacentral:lncRNA from 1 species
GGUGGUUUCCAUGAACUUUUUUUCCUAAAUUUUGGGAUGGGCGUGACUUCUUCAUUGGUGUCAGUAUCUGAAUCUGUUAAUCCGGCUUCUUCAAGGUUUUUCUUGCCCCUAUUGUAGAAAAAAUCUUUCAAGCGUAAACGUCUAGCGAAUUGGUCUAGGUCUUCGUCUAGCUGAAAGUUAUUUACAGUUGAUGGGAUAGGACAGAAGUUUAAACCUUUACUUAAAAGAGAUUCCUCAGCACGUG